rnacentral:rRNA from 1 species
UACGGAGGGGGUUAGCGUUGUUCGGAAUGACUGGGCGUAAAGCGCGCGUAGGCGGAUCAGGAAGUUGGGGGUGAAAUCCCGGGGCUCAACCCCGGAAUGGCCUUCAAAACUCCUGGUCUUGAGUUCGAGAGAGGUGAGUGGAAUUCCGAGUGUAGAGGUGAAAUUCGUAGAUAUUCGGAGGAACACCAGUGGCGAAGGCGGCCCACUGGCUCGACACUGACGCUGAGGUGCGAAAGCGUGGGGAGCAAACAGG